rnacentral:misc_RNA from 1 species
GUACCCCUCUCCACCCCGUUGGUUUCGGCCAAUUGUUUAGGGCUUGGGAUCGUGAUGCGUGCCGCGUUAUAGCGGCUGCAUUGAAAUAUAAGAAGCUGAAUCGGCUCGUGCGGCUUGACCCGUUGUUAUAACUAAACUUCAAUGGGAACGCACGUUGGUUGAACGCGCUUACCACAAAUUCAUUAGUGCA